UACGUAGGGACCAAGCGUUGUUCGGAUUUACUGGGCGUAAAGGGCGCGUAGGCGGCGCGGUAAGUCACUUGUGAAAUCUCUGAGCUUAACUCAGAACGGUCAAGUGAUACUGCUGUGCUAGAGUGCGGAAGGGGCAAUCGGAAUUCUCGGUGUAGCGGUGAAAUGCGUAGAUAUCGAGAGGAACACCAGUGGCGAAGGCGAGUCCCUGGACAACACCUGACACUGAGGCACGAAAGCUAGGGGAGCAAACCGG
rnacentral:rRNA from 1 species